rnacentral:ncRNA from 1 species
UCCACUGCUCCGGGGUGCACGAAUCGACGCGCUGAGAUGGUCAAACCAAACCCGCGAACUUGAACCGGUUAGUCCCGGCGGAAGGAGAGCUUGGAUUCCAGGC